rnacentral:rRNA from 1 species
AAAAAAAAAAACACGUGGAUAACCUACCUAUAAGACUGGGAUAACUUCGGGAAACCGGAGCUAAUACCGGAUAAUAUUCUGAACCGCAUGGUUCAAUAGUGAAAGACGGUUUUGCUGUCACUUAUAGAUGUAUCCGCGCCGCAUUAGCUAGUUGGUAAGGUAACUGCUUACCAAGGAAACGAUGGGUAGCCGAACUGAGCGGGGGAUCGGCCACGCUUGAAUGGAGACACGGUCCAGACGCAUACGGGAGGCAGCAGUAGGGAAUCUUCCGAAAGGGGCGAAAGCCUGACGGAGCAAAGCCGCGUGAGUGAUGAAAUUCUUUUUUUUUU